rnacentral:rRNA from 1 species
AUUGAACGCUGGCGGCAUGGCUAAGACAUGCAAGUCGAGCGCGAAAGUCACUUCGGUGGCGAGUAGAGCGGCGAAAGGGCGAGUAAUGCGUUCCUACGUGCCCCCUGGUCAGGGAUAGCCCCGGGAAACCGGGAGUAAUACCUGAUGUGGUCUCCGGAUCAAAGGCUUCGGUCGCCAGGGGAGCGGGGAACGUCUUAUCAGGUUGUUGGUGAGGUAAAAGCUCACCAAGCCUAUGACGGGUAGCGGGUGUGAGAGCAUGACCCGCCGCAUCGGGACUGAGACACUGCCCGGACUCCUACGGGAGGCUGCAGUAACGAAUAUUCCGCAAUGCGCGAAAGCGUGACGGAGCAAUGCCGCGUGCAGGAUGAAGCCCUUCGGGGUGUAAACUGCUGUCAGGGUACAGGAAGCAAGUGACCAUACCCAAAGGAAGGGCCGGCUAACUUCGUG